UGAGACGCCACACUCUGGAGCAAGUGAUGACUAAUAAUGAUCUGUAUUUACAAGAUCAAACAAGCUUCCUCUCUUUUAUAACACGUGACGUCCAACGCCAGCGACAGCGAGAGUAGCUACCGGUAAACACUGUAUCCUGGACGUGUCGCGAAACGCCAUCAAGAGACUCCAUCUGGCGCAGCUUCACCCCAUCGCCAUCUUCAUCAAACCCAAAUCUGUGGAGAACAUCAUAGAGAUGAACAAGCGUCUGACGGACGAUCAGGGCAGGAAAACCUUCGACAGAGCCGCCAAGCUGGAGCAGGAGUUCACAGAACAUUUCACAGCCGUGGUGCAGGGCGACACUCUGGAGGAGAUCUACGACCAGGUGAAGCAGAUCAUCGAGGAGCAGUCGGGUCCCUUCAUCUGGGUCCAGUCCAAGGAGAAGUUAUGAAGGUCCCGACGCCCGGGUCGCUCCGGCGCUGCUCUUUUUACAUCCACUUAGUUUUAUUUUGAAAGGAAGAGUCGCCCCCCCCUCUAACCCCCCCAGAAACGAGGCGGCGGCUCACCUGAAGGUAUUCUCAAUCUUUUUAAGUUUUUUCUCCAUGAAGACGACGGUUCGGUUUCCUGACCAGCAGGAAAGAGCACACAGGAAGUGACAUCACACUCGCCACGGUACAGCUCCUUAAUGUUUAAGGGAGGAAACUUCAGAGGAGAAUUCUUGACGGCGACGAGAAGAAA